rnacentral:rRNA from 1 species
UACAGAGGGUGCGAGCGUUGUUCGGAAUUAUUGGGCGUAAAGCGCGUGUAGGCGGGAUGGCAAGUCGGGUGUGAAAGCCCUCAGCUCAACUGAGGAAGUGCGCCCGAAACUACUGUUCUUGAGUGUCGGAGAGGGUGGCGGAAUUCCCGGUGUAGAGGUGAAAUUCGUAGAUAUCGGGAGGAACACCAGAGGCGAAGGCGGCCACCUGGACGAACACUGACGCUGAGACGCGAAAGCGUGGGGAGCAAACAGG